rnacentral:rRNA from 1 species
UACGGAGGGUGCAAGCGUUAUCCGGAUUCACUGGGUUUAAAGGGUGCGUAGGAGGGCAGGUAAGUCAGUGGUGAAAUCUCCGAGCUUAACUUGGAAACUGCCGUUGAUACUAUCUGUCUUGAAUAUUGUGGAGGUGAGCGGAAUAUGUCAUGUAGCGGUGAAAUGCUUAGAUAUGACAUAGAACACCAAUUGCGUAGGCAGCUUACUACACGAUCAUUGACGCUGAGGCACGAAAGCGUGGGGAGCAAACAGG